GACGAACGCUGGCGGCGUGCCUAAUACAUGCGAGUCGAACGCUGAAGAGAGGAGCUUGCUCUUCUUGGCUGAGUUGCGAACGGGUGAGUAACGCGUAGGUAACCUGCCUGGUAGCGGGGGAUAACUAUUGGAAACGAUAGCUAAUACCGCAUAAAAUGGAUUAUCGCAUGAUAAUCCAUUGAAAGGUGCAAAUGCAUCACUACCAGAUGGACCUGCGUUGUAUUAGCUAGUUGGUGGGGUAACGGCUCACCAAGGCGACGAUACAUAGCCGACCUGAGAGGGUCAUCGGCCACACUGGGACUGAGACACGGCCCAGACUCCUACGGGAGGCAGCAGUAGGGAAUCUUCGGCAAUGGACGGAAGUCUGACCGAGCAACGCCGCGUGAGUGAAGAAGGUUUUCGGAUCGUAAAGCUCUGUUGUAAGAGAAGAACGAGUGUGAGAGUGGAAAGUUCACACUGUGACGGUAUCUUACCAGAAAGGGACGGCUAACUACGUG
rnacentral:rRNA from 1 species